rnacentral:rRNA from 1 species
AGUGAACGCUGGCGGUAGGCCUAACACAUGCAAGUCGAACGGCAGCACAGUAAGAGCUUGCUCUUACGGGUGGCGAGUGGCGGACGGGUGAGGAAUACAUCGGAAUCUACUUUUUCGUGGGGGAUAACGUAGGGAAACUUACGCUAAUACCGCAUACGACCUACGGGUGAAAGCAGGGGAUCUUCUGACCUUGCGCGAUUGAAUGAGCCGAUGUCGGAUUAGCUAGUUGGCGGGGUAAAGGCCCACCAAGGCGACGAUCCGUAGCUGGUCUGAGAGGCUGAUCAGCCACCCUGGAACUGAGACACGGUCCAGACUCCUACGGGAGGAAGCAGUGGGGAAUAUUGGACAAUGGGCGCAAGCCUGAUCCAGCCAUACCGCGUGGGUGAAGAAGGCCUUCGGGUUGUAAAGCCCUUUUGUUGGGAAAGAAAAGCAGCAGGUUAAUACCCCGCUGUUCUGACGGUACCCAAAGAAUAAGCACCGGCUAACUUCGUG